rnacentral:rRNA from 1 species
UUAAAUUGAAGAGUUUGAUCAUGGCUCAGAUUGAACGCUGGCGGCAGGCCUAACACAUGCAAGUCGAACGGUAACAGGAAGCAGCUUGCUGCUUUGCUGACGAGUGGCGGACGGGUGAGUAAUGUCUGGGAAACUGCCUGAUGGAGGGGGAUAACUACUGGAAACGGUAGCUAAUACCGCAUAACGUCGCAAGACCAAAGAGGGGGACCUUAGGGCCUCUUGCCAUCGGAUGUGCCCAGAUGGGAUUAGCUAGUAGGUGGGGUAACGGCUCACCUAGGCGACGAUCCCUAGCUGGUCUGAGAGGAUGACCAGCCACACUGGAACUGAGACACGGUCCAGACUCCUACGGGAGGCAGCAGUGGGGAAUAUUGCACAAUGGGCGCAAGCCUGAUGCAGCCAUGCCGCRUGUAUGAAGAAGGCCU